GACCAUCCUCCAAGGCUAAAUACUCCUGACUGACCGAUAGUGAACCAGUACCGUGAGGGAAAGGCGAAAAGAACCCCGGCGAGGGGAGUGAAAAAGAACCUGAAACCGUGUACGUACAAGCAGUGGGAGCCUCUUAAUGGGGUGACUGCGUACCUUUUGUAUAAUGGGUCAGCGACUUAUAUUCUGUAGCAAGGUUAACCGAAUAGGGGAGCCGAAGGGAAACCGAGUCUUAACUGGGCGUUAAGUUGCAGGGUAUAGACCCGAAACCCGGUGAUCUAGCCAUGGGCAGGUUGAAGGUUGGGUAACACUAACUGGAGGACCGAACCGACUAAUGUUGAAAAAUUAGCGGAUGACUUGUGGCUGGGGGUGAAAGGCCAAUCAAACCGGGAGAUAGCUGGUUCUCCCCGAAAGCUAUUUAGGUAGCGCCUCGUGAAUUCAUCUCCGGGGGUAGAGCACUGUUUCGGCAAGGGGGUCAUCCCGACUUACCAACCCGAUGCAAACUGCGAAUACCGGAGAAUGUUAUCACGGGAGACACACGGCGGGUGCUAACGUCCGUCGUGAAGAGGGAAACAACCCAGACCGCCAGCUAAGGUCCCAAAGUCAUGGUUAAGUGGGAAACGAUGUGGGAAGGCCCAGACAGCCAGGAUGUUGGCUUAGAAGCAGCCAUCAUUUAAAGAAAGCGUAAUAGCUCACUGGUCGAGUCGGCCUGCGCGGAAGAUGUAACGGGGCUAAACCAUGCACCGAAGCUGCGGCAGCGACACUAUGUGUUGUUGGGUAGGGGAGCG
rnacentral:rRNA from 1 species